GCCCUUGUGGCGCAGCUGGUCGUGCGUCUAGCUAUCAGAGUUUGCUAGAGACUCUGGGUUCGAUCCCCAGCAAGGGCG